CACAUCGAAUCAAUGCGAUGUUGCCAAAUUUCUCAGCAUGGCUUGUAUUAAAGACGGCUGUGUACAGAGUAAACCAAUUUGAUUUGCACCGGGAAAGUUUUGUUAGCAUACCACCGUCAGGAACUCUUAUUGAGCCAGUGUAGAGGUCGCCAAUCGUCUGCAUCGGAAAGGUCCACGACAUUAUUUGACUCUGACGGGAGCCAACCACCGAUCUCCUCAAGAAUAUCGAGCUCUCUUUAAUCAAGUAAAUCCAGGAACCAUUGCCUGAGUCUCCCGAGAACAGACGCGAGAGCAACCAAUCAGCGAGCAAGAGCCAUGAAACCUGACCAUCCACAAAAUGGUCAUAUCAAAUGAACAACCUCGACCGCAACUACAUCACCAGUAUUAUGAAAUGAAAUGCAAACAAGCAAAAUAACGGAAUUUUCCGUAAGGAAGGAAAGCGUUACAACCUUCACCUGCUCCCUUAUCUUGACUAAUGUUCAGUCGCUGAAUCAGAACUUUUAGCCAAUUAUGGUUCAAUUGUCGAUCUCAGAAAAUACAUGAUUUAGCAAUAACUUAACACUUUGAAUGUGGUCUCAUAAACCGGCUGGAUGGUUCGAUUCACACCAAUUUGUCAUGUUAUGUCGAAUAACAUCAGAUAGUGGACCGUAAUAUGUAUCUGAUUUCAUCCUCAAUUUACUUGGAAUCGUAGCUUCGACGAACGAAACAUAAUUUCUAUGAAUAUUCAAAUCAGAUGAUACCAUACUGAUUGUCAAAUAGAUCACUGGAAUACAUAUUCCGAAUAAAUCGUCAGAGUAUGGGUGCGUGAUGCAAAUUUUGGAAUUGGUCGAAUUUCAAUUUUUGAUGAGGGUAUCUAAAGGUAACAGUUCCGUUUGCAAAGUGUAAAUCAUUUCUUUAUAUUUUGUAAUAAAAUUAACUGUAUUCAACUAACUAAUUUAGGUAAUAACAAAGUUUUGCAUGAAGUAUUCCAAUGUUGGAAAUUAAAUCAGAACGUGACUUCAUUUCUUGACGCGCCAACGUUUUUGACUGAACUGAACUACAUAAUUUGAAAAAUAUGCGGAAACUUUUUCUGUAUUUUCAAACAAAAUUAGUCCAAUUAUUCUGUAUCCACGUUUAUCCGU